UACGAAGGGGGCUAGCGUUGCUCGGAAUUACUGGGCGUAAAGGGCGCGUAGGCGGCUUACCAAGUCAGACGUGAAAUCCCUCGGCUUAACCGGGGAACUGCGUCUGAUACUGGAUGGCUGGAGGUUGGGAGAGGGAUGCGGAAUUCCAGGUGUAGCGGUGAAAUGCGUAGAUAUCUGGAGGAACACCGGUGGCGAAGGCGGCAUCCUGGACCAAUUCUGACGCUGAGGAGCGAAAGCCAGGGGAGCAAACGGG
rnacentral:rRNA from 1 species